rnacentral:sRNA from 1 species
GGAGUACAGUCUGUGCUAACAGGCUGAUGGCUGGUGACUUUUUGGUCACCAGCCU